rnacentral:rRNA from 1 species
CACACGACUCUCGGCAACGGAUAUCUCGGCUCUCGCAUCGAUGAAGAACGUAGCGAAAUGCGAUACCUGGUGUGAAUUGCAGAAUCCCGUGAACCAUCGAGUCUUUGAACGCAAGUUGCGCCCGAGGCCAUCCGGCCGAGGGCACGCCUGCCUGGGCGUCACG